rnacentral:rRNA from 1 species
CCCUUAGAGUUUGAUCCUGGCUCAGGACGAACGCUAGCGGCGUGCUUUAAGCAUGCAAGUAGAACGGGGUGUAGCAAUACACUUAGUUGCGAACGGCUGAGUAAUACGUAAGAACUUACCCCUUGGUGGUGAACACCUCCCGAAAGGAGAGCUAAUACAGCAUAAAACCGCAAGGUAAAAGGGUUUAACCGCCCGCCGAGGGAGAGGCUUGCGGCCUAUCAGCUUGUUGGUGUGGUAAUGGCGCACCAAGGCUACGACGGGUAGGGGACGUGAGAGCGUGACCCCCCAGAAUGGGACUGAGACACGGCCCAUACACCUACGGGUGGCAGCAACUGGGAAUCGUGCGCAAUGGACGAAAGUCUGACGCCGCGACGCCGCGUGAAGGAUGAAGGCAUUCGUGUCGUAAACUUCUUUUGCCAAAUCUUAGCGGGUUUGGAGAAUAAGCACCGGCUAACUCUGUGCCAGCAGCAGCGGUAAUACAGAGGGUGCAAGCGUUGUCCGGAUUUAUUGGGCGUAAAGAGUUCGUAGGCUUCCUGUUAAGUCAUCUUUUAAAGACCGAGGCUCAACUUCGGAAAGGGGGAUGAUACUGGCAGGAUUGAAAUAUUUCGGGGCUACUGGAACUUACGGUGUAGGAGUGAAAUCCGUUGAUAUCGUAAGGAACACCAAGGGCGAAGGCGGGUAGCUAGGAAUUAUUUGACGCUGAGGGACGAAAGCUAGGGGAGCGAAAGGGAUUAGAGACCCCUGUAGUCCUAGCCGUAAACG